rnacentral:rRNA from 1 species
UGGGGAAUAUUGCACAAUGGGGGAAACCCUGAUGCAGCGACGCCGCGUGAGCGAGGAAGUAUUUCGGUAUGUAAAGCUCUGUCAGCAGGGAAGAAGAAUGACGGUACCUGAAGAAGAAGCACCGGCUAAAUACGUGCCAGCAGCCGCGGUAAUACGUAUGGUGCAAGCGUUAUCCGGAUUUACUGGGUGUAAAGGGAGCGCAGGCGGUUCUGCAAGUCUGAUGUGAAAGCCCGGGGCUCAACCGCGGGACUGCAUUGGAAACUGCGGGACUGGAGUGUCGGAGGGGUAAGCGGAAUUCCUGGUGUAGCGGUGAAAUGCGUAGAUAUCAGGAGGAACACCGGUGGCGAAGGCGGCUUACUGGACGAUGACUGACGCUGAGGCUCGAAAGCGUGGGGAGCAAACAGG